rnacentral:tmRNA from 1 species
UGGCGAAUCCUCGCUUGAAAAACCCCCACCCCGCCCCCAUAAUUCCAAGCAUGGUUGUAAUUCCGGCAAUCUGGAGGCGUUCUGGACAGGGGUUCGAUUCCCCUCACCUCCACCUAAGCGCAUUGUGGUGUGUUUAGUUGGGGGUGUACUGGCUUCGACAGGGCGGGCAAAGGUGCGCAGGCAACUCGUCAGGCGAUCGACGUUAAUGAAGCAAAUCCAUAAUUGCCAAUGAUGAUGUUACCAAAGAUAGCCGGCGGGGACUUCGGUCCCCGUCGUCA